rnacentral:rRNA from 1 species
CGUAGGUGGCUUUGUAAGUCAGGUGUGAAAGCCCACGGCUCAACCGUGGAAUUGCACUUGAUACUGCAUCGCUAGAGUAUAGGAGAGGGAAGUGGAAUUUCUGGUGUAGGAGUGAAAUCCGUAGAGAUCAGAAGGAACACCCGUGGCGAAGGCGACUUCCUGGACUAUUACUGACACUGAGGAGCGAAAGCGUGGGGAGCCAAACAGGAUUAGAUACCCUGGUAG